GAAAUGCGAUACUUGGUGUGAAUUGCAGAAUCCCGUGAACCAUCGAGUCUUUGAACGCACAUUGCGCCCUCUGGUAUUCCGGGGGGCAUGCCUGUUCGAGCGUCAUUAUAACCACUCAAGCUCUCUCGCUUGGUAUUGGGGUUCGCGGUUUCGCGGCCCCUAAAAUCAGUGGCGGUGCCUUGUCGGCUCUACGCGUAGUAAUACUCCUCGCGAUUGAGUCCGGUAGGUUUACUUGCCAGCAACCCCUAAUUUUUUAAGGUUGACCUCGGAUCAGGUAGGGAUACCCGCUGAACUUAA
rnacentral:misc_RNA from 1 species